GAGUAAAUUACUUCCAAGUCCUACAACUCCUCCUCCUUUUGUGGAAGAUGGUCUAACAAGAGAUGGAGGAGAAGAUGCAGGGUUUGGAGGAAAUGUUGAAAUGGAAAAUGAGGAAGAAGUGCUAAAAACAAGGGGGGAGAUGAGGUUUGACACAGAUGAGAAGAGAAAUGAGGAUGAAGUGAAUGUUUUGAAGGGGGAACUUUAUGCUCAAAAAGGAUUUGAGAAGGAGGAGAAAGAAAUAUUGAAUAAUAAGGAUGAAGUUGUGGAGAAGAAUGGAUAUGAGGAAGAUGUCGAUGAGGAUGUAGACAAAGAGGAAGACUCAUUAAAAGAGAUUGAGAUACAAAAUGAAGGAAUAAGGGAAAAGGAGAAAGAGG
rnacentral:misc_RNA from 1 species